UACGAAGGGGGCUAGCGUUGCUCGGAAUUACUGGGCGUAAAGCGCACGUAGGCGGAUUGUUAAGUCUGGGGUGAAAUCCUGGAGCUCAACUCCAGAACUGCCUUCGAUACUGGCGAUCUCGAGUCCGGGAGAGGUGAGUGGAACUGCGAGUGUAGAGGUGAAAUUCGUAGAUAUUCGCAAGAACACCAGUGGCGAAGGCGGCUCACUGGCCCGGUACUGACGCUGAGGUGCGAAAGCGUGGGGAGCAAACAGG
rnacentral:rRNA from 1 species